rnacentral:rRNA from 1 species
UACGUAGGGUGCGAGCGUUAAUCGGAAUUACUGGGCGUAAAGCGUGCGCAGGCGGUUUUGUAAGCCAGAUGUGAAAUCCCCGGGCUUAACCUGGGAAUGGCAUUUGGGACUGCAAGGCUGGAGUGCGGCAGAGGAGACUGGAAUUCCUGGUGUAGCAGUGAAAUGCGUAGAUAUCAGGAGGAAUACCGAUGGCGAAGGCAGCCCCCUGGGUCAACACUGACGCUCAUGCACGAAAGCGUGGGGAGCAAACAGG